UGUUGUGUUGUGUUCCUGCGUUGGACUACAACACGAUUUGAAGAUUCGCUCAAAUAUUCGGCUGCUUUCUCUAUGGAAAUAGUCAUCAAGAGGCAGUGAGCAGCAGAACACAACAAGAUGCAACAAGACACAACAAGUAAAAACUUAAUAAAUCUCAUCUUUAAAAUUUAAAUUGUUCUUAUAUUUUAAGAGUCAUUCACAUUUUAAACUUUAAUAAAACCUUUUUGCACUUUUAA